GGGACCAUGGACAUUUUAGGUGCCUGAAUUCUGCUGAUAUUUAAUGGAGAUGGUUUGCCUGGUUGCUUAUUCCAGGGCCCUUGAUGGGAAGGGAGCAGGCUGUGCAGAGGCCUUACCUUGGGACCGCAGCAUCCUCGGGUUCAUCUGCAGAGCAGCUCUCAGGUGCGGCUCCAGCUGCUUGACCUUGCAGACCAGCUUCCCCAGCUGACAGUUUGCCCUAAUGUCAUCCUUCUGAGAGACGAAAGAGCAGAGAGGACACAAAAAACUCUCUCCGUGGGCGUCCACCUGCAGGAAAGUGACGCAGUGGUGGCAGCAGAUGUAUCUACACUUUAAGUACACGGGUUUCUUAAAAUAGGCCUCACACACAGGACAGCUGCUGGCUUCUCCAAAGUGCUCUGCCAUGUCUCCUGCAGGAGAAAGAGUGAGGAUAUUAAUUACUUCAUGUGUCAUAUAAAUGUCAUAAUUUAUAGAAUGGAGAUUCCAUGAAAUGAAUAUACUGAGGCUUUUUCACCUCUAUGUGCAUAGAGCUAUUGUCCCUGGAACUAGGGAGUAAGCAUGCAAAUAUGAAGACUCAUGGCCCUGAAAUGCCAGGUGGAACGAGGAACACAAUUCACCAUUCAAGCUUGAGUUGAAGUGGUGAAAGGGUCUAGAGCUGAACUCUCCAUGGGGGCUACUCAUCUCCUGCAAUGGCACUUGUCUGAAUUGAGAUGUGCUGUGAGCAUCAAGUACACACUGAGUUCAAAGACAUCCUGAGAAAAAGGGAAUGUAAGCUGUCUCACUGGUUACUGUGUUAAAAGAAAUAAAACAAAUUGGAGCUACUAUGUCUAAGAGAUUUAACAUGGAGCAGGAGAUCACUCUGGAGGUGACCCUUGUGCAGGGCCCAGCCAGGGAUCACAGGCUGCCACAGCAUGCAAAGCCUCAAGGAACAAGUUCCUCAAAACACCGAGGACAUCCGGACCAUAAAACAAACCACCGAUAAAGAACCCAGAAAAUGUAGAAUCCCAUGUGUGGCCACAUCAUCUUUCUACUGGACAACACUGGUCUGGGCUGGUGGACCCUCCAAUCCCUCCAGCUGGUGUGACCUGACUAGGAAAGAACCCACAACAGCCGCUGAGAGAUUGAAGUUUCAGUGGAAACUCAAUUCAUCUCUGGUAGACUAGCCCAAGCUAUUACUGGACUAAGGAAAAUGAGGAAUAUUCAUUUCUUCUGGCUGAUGUGGAAACCCCAGGUUCUGCCUGCUGCUCCUGGAGUUGGGGCCCGAGUGGCCGUGGGAGCUCACACCGUGUGUGGCACCGAGUUGUCUUCACACCACCCUUGCGCGAUUCAGGGAGUAUUAAUUCCCCAGACCUUGCUCCCUCACAUCUGCCCUUCAUAGGAAUCUGAGAAGUGAAAAAUAAAUCACAUAAAAUUGGACUCACUGUUCUCCAAGAGAGUCUCCUCUGGCCUCCAGCUGCUUCCCAAGGUUCUUGAGUGAAAUCAGCUGUCAAGGGCCUUUUGUACCAAGGGCCCUUCCUCUCUUCUCAUUUACAUCAGACCACGCCUCUUUAAUCCAAUCUUAUGUUGAUUUAAUUGUGGCAGUAAUAGGAUCUUAACAAUGAAAAAGAAAACCAUAAAUUGUUUCAUACCACAUUGUAAUUAAAGUUCAAAUUGAAAUGCA